rnacentral:rRNA from 1 species
UACAGAGGUCUCGAGCGUUAGGCGGAAUCACUGGGCUUAAAGCGUGUGUAGGCGGAUCGUUAAGUCAGUGGUGAAAGCCCCAAGCUUAACUUGGGAACUGCCAUUGAUACUGAUGGUCUUGAGUACAUUUGAGGUGGGCGGAAUGUGUCAUGUAGCGGUGAAAUGCUUAGAUAUGACACAGAACACCGAUUGCGAAGGCAGCUCACUAAACUGUAACUGACGCUGAGGCACGAAAGCGUGGGGAGCAAACAGG